GCAGACACAUUCGAGCCAAUCAGCAGCAGACCCUCCCUUCUAGACCCUCCCACCUCCUGGACAGCAUCCAUUGUGAAGCUGCAUUCUUAGUGAGCUGUCCAGGAGGUGGGAGGGUCUGGGAGGGAGGGUCUGCUGUUGAUUGGCUGGAAUGUGUCUG
rnacentral:miRNA from 1 species